rnacentral:lncRNA from 1 species
UUCUCAUUAUAAAAUGACAUUCUUUCUUUUUUACUGUUUUUGAUUUAAAGUAUGUUCUAUCUGAUAUGAAUAUAGUUACUCCUGCUUGCUUUUGGUUUCCAUUCAUGUGAGGAAAAUCUUUUUCCAACUCCUUUACCCACAGUCUGUAAGUGUCUUUACCAGCUGAGAGGAUUUCUUAUAAGCAGCAUGUAGAUGGCUGAUUUUUAAAAACCCAUUCCAUCAAUUUAUAUCUUUUAAGUGGAAUAUUUAUGUCAUUUACAUUCAAGGUUAAUAUUUUAUACUUUCCCGCACUUUUAUGGUGGUAAGUACUAACCCUUUGUUUCCAUGUUUAGAAUUCCUUUGAGUAUUCCUUGUAGGUCCAGUCUAUUUGUGACCACUUCCCUUGAUGUUUGCUUUUGUGGCAAAGACUUUAUUUCUACUUCAUUUAUCAAGCUUACUCUACCAGGAUAUAAAAUUCCUGAUUGACAGUUUGCUUUUUUUUUUUUUUUUCUCUUUAAGAACUCAGAAAAAAGGCUCUCAAUCCAUUCUGGCUUGUUAAGUCUCACAUUGAGAAGUCCACUGCUACUCUGAUAAGGUUUCUCUUAUAGGCAACUAGACAUCAGAUUUUUUCCUACAUGUUGACUUUAUACAGUUUGAUGACUAUAUUUCUUGGUGAACUAUGUCUUGCAAUGCACUUUUCUGGUAUUUGCUGGGCCUCUUAUAUUUGAAUGUGUAAAUCUUUUGCAAGACUAGGGAAAUUUUAACGUAGUAUUUCCUUAAAUAGGUUUUCCAGUCUUGUUACUUUUUCUUCUCUUUUGGAAAUACCAAGGAUUCAUAAGUGUAAUCAUUACUAUGUAGUACAUAUUGAAGUCUUUGUUCAUUUUUUUCUUUUUUUCUGACUCUAUUAAUUUAAAAGAUUUGUUUCAAGCAGUGAGAUUCUCUGCUUUGCUUGCUCUAGUCUCUUGUUGAAGCUUUCAACUGUCUUGUUUAAUUCCUUCAAUAAUUUUUUAUUUUCUAGCAGUUCUGGCUUUUUUAGAAAUAAUGAUAUCCAUCUCGUUGGUACACUUGUCAUUCAUAUUCAAAAUUAAUUUGUUGAUUCAUCAGUACUGGUUUUCAGAUUUGUCUUUUUAUUUCCAUGAGAUUCUUUACAAUCAAUAAUUUAAAUUGGUAUUUUGAUUAUUUCUUUUUGGUUAGGAUCUAUUACCGGAGAAUUACUGUUUCUUUGGGGAUGCCAUAACCCUUUGCUAUUAAAUACUUCAGCAUUAUUACACUGAUUUCUUUACAUAUGAGAAAACAGUUGCUUCUUCUUGCUUUUGAAUUUACUUUCUUUGGGGGGAAAUUUUUUUUUUUCUCUUCAGGAUGUGACUAUGAUGUUAUGUAGGGCUGUUUCUCUUUGCUUCUGGGUAUGUUCAGUAGCAAAGACUCUGUACAAUAUUAGUUAAAAAUAGCUUUAAUGUGGUGGCUUUAUAAAAUGGCAGUUGUAGUAGCUGUGUACUGGGUGGAUGAAGAAGCCACUUCAGAAUACUGAGAAGCCAGGGUGGCAUGGGUGAUGGUGGAUGCAGAGGUCACAUGAAGCCUGUCUCCUUCCUGAGUGCUGUGCAUCUUUUUCAGCAGAUUUGCCUUGUGUUUUGGAGGCUGACCUGGUCAGUAGGUGGUACAUGCCAGUUAGAGCAGGCUGCCAUGAUAGCAGUAGGGUUUAUAUGUGAUCUUUGUUAACAUCUGUAGAAGCGCUUUCAGUGUCCCAGGUGGUGGGUUGGGCCCUGGAGUGCUCAAGGGCUUGAGUCACCUUCUCUCUAGGAUGGGGUGGUAAAGCUGAGUAAAGCCAGAUUGGGGAACCCUGCACUCAGGCCCCCCAUGGCAGAUGUACACACCAGCCCUGAGAGGGGUGGUGGGGGAGUCCUCAGGCCCCUGGUGAAAUCUGCUGAGGUCUCCGCUUGGGGAGUGAAGGGCGGUACCAGCACCAUGGCUUUGACAGGCAGGAAUGAGAUCUGCUACCUUUACUCGCCUUUGUCUGACAUUCAGAAUAUUCGGUUAGGUUAGACAAUGCUGUUUCCUUUUAGGCUGCAAUGCUGUUUACUUAUAGGAUGAAACUGUAUCAGACUUUGUAGUGGCUGUGCAUGUUGAUAUCCUGGCCAGUAGGCAGUGCGUGCAGGUGAGAGCCAGCUGCAGUGGUGGUGUUACAGUUAAGGCUUGACCUUUGUUAACUUGGUGAUGUACUUGGGUUUCCCAGGCAAUGGGUUGGGCCACGGAAUUCUCAGCGGUCUCAGUCCUGUACUUUGCUUCCAAGGUGGGAAAUAGGGGGGAAAGCUGGUGGUGUUGGGUAGAGGAGAAAGCAGGGUGGGGCUGAGAUGGGCAGGUCUAUACCUGGUCCUCCUAAUGGCCAGUACAAGUGCCAGCCCUGAUGGGGGUUGGAGGACAGUUCUCAGGCCACUGGAGCAAUAGUUCAGGGAGAAGUGGAGCAACUCUUUCUGUUCCAACUAACCAGCAUGGGGAAAGUGGGGUGGCUCGGGUUCCAUAGCCUAGCAGGUGGUAGUGAGACCUGCCUUGCUCUCAUGCUCUCAACCUAGCGGGAUACCAUCCUACGGCCUGCCACUGGCAUCGAGCUGAGGCAGCCAGCCAAAUCACAAGCAGUUUGUCUUUGGACUGCAAUAUAACCCCAGGCCAUAAAACUGUGGCUCCCAGGUGAAACCCCUCCCAGCCCAAUUCCAGGAUGGGGAGGUUCCCGAAUCCCAUAACCUUGGCUGGAGCCAAUGCCACACUUGCUUAUCAGUUCUGGCCUCGUUCCUGGGACUGUGCAUAGUCUGCUAAAAGCAGAUGAGAAUUUCACAAAAUGCCACGUUAUCACAAAUUUCUGAAGAGGCUGACAGGUUAUUAAUCAGGAUAAACCACAUUGAAUAAAGUAUUCCUGUUAAGUGGUUCUGCAGCCUCUGAAUCGGCUGGGAAGUUGUUGGACAUGAGAAUUCUUAGGCUCCUGCCCAGAUCUAACAAAUCACAACCUCAGGAGGUGGGGCCCAGCACCUUGUAUGUUCGUAAGUUCUCCGGCUGACUGGAUGCUGACACUUGCUCUCAGGAAUCUACACUGGUCCCCCAUUGAUGCCAGGGGGUGCAAUGGGCAUCCUACUUCUAAUGUCUUGAUCAUGUUUCUUCAUUUAGAAUAAACUUCUUUUCUUGCUAAUCAAAUUAUAUUACCCCUUUAGAACUCUCUGUAUCCCUUCCUUUUGAACACUGCUCCAGCCUCUUGGGACUCCAGGACAUCUUCUACAUAAUCUCAUGUCUUUUAGACACGUCAGCUCACUACGAAAGAAUUACUAAGUGAAACUGACCACGUUUCUUGUUCCCUUCCUCCCCCUCCUUCAUUUUAAAAUUGUGAAUAUAUGGUGAUGAAGACCACAAUGAA